AGGCCAGUAGCUCCAAUUGGUAGAGCGGCGGUCUCCAAAACCGUUGGUUGGGGGUUCGAGUCCUCCCUGGCCUG
rnacentral:tRNA from 1 species